GGCAACAUUACUACGCCCCUGGAGCAUCUGUGAAAAAGGCAGACUGGGGAGAACUGUGUUGCUCCUUCCAGGCUGAAUAAAGCCAGAGUCUUGAAGGGAGAAGGGACAUUUGCAAGUGGAGAAGGAGGGGAAGGGCAUGCCUGGCAGAGGGAAUAACAAUGGCAAAAACAAUGCCUCUUCUCCCCCAUCCUGCGGAUGGCUGGCCUGAACCCAGGAGAACCCGUCUGUUUUUAAGGAUACCCCGGGAAAAGGAUGUCCUUGGCCUGAGCAAGGAUCUGGAUCAGGGAGAGGGUCAACAAGGAAGCGCCAAGCUGAGCAGACCCUAUUCAACAGCAAGAGAAGACUGCUGCAAUGCAAGCAAAAGGCCAGUGCGCGUCAGGGGUUUCUCUCCUCUUCCCCUCACCUAGUGGCUGGUAACAGAACUGUGGAAAUCUGAUGAUUCUUGGACCAAUCAGGAAGGAGAAAAUGUGGGAAUGUUUGAGUGAUUGAUUUAUAAAAAAAUACAAAUAGAGCUUAUUUGAAUGCCCUAAACUGGCAGAGUGUUUCAUACCCAGCUACAUCGGAAAAUAAAACUCAGAAGA